rnacentral:rRNA from 1 species
UACAGAGGUCCCAAGCGUUGUUCGGAUUCACUGGGCGUAAAGGGUGCGCAGGUGGGCUGGCAAGUUCGAUGUGAAAGCCCCGGGCUUAACCCGGGAAUGGCAUUGGAAACUGCCGGUCUGGAGGAUCGGAGGGGGGACUGGAAUUCUUGGUGUAGCAGUGAAAUGCGUAGAUAUCGUCUGGAACGCCAAAGGUGAAAACAGCUCGCUGGGGUUGUGCUGACGCUGAGACACGAAAGCGUGGGGAGCGAACAGG